rnacentral:lncRNA from 1 species
CGAAAAGGCACAGAUCUGAGGUGGGCAGAAGAGGCUGGAAGCCACCUGUGCACGUAAGGUUCAAGGACGCUGACGUGCUGAGGUCUGGGAACCUGGUCAAUUAUUAUCUAUUAGCAGCCUGGCUACCCUUGGUUGCUUUGAUCUCCCUUGCAUACAUCCUCAUGUUGCAACCCGUACAGUGAUUCAAUCAAACAGACAUGUACACGCUGGGGCUGAAAAUCGGUGUGGUGAAUGCAAUGUCCUCUGUGCUCCUAAAGUCUGUGCGAAAGGGAGAUUCCUGGAGGCGCUGAGGAUCCUGUGUGGAUGGUAUUGUAAGAAAUAGCACAAAAACAUUCAUGUUAAGAAUUAGUGUGUACAUGACUAGAAACUAAAACACCAGAAGCAUUUUCAUUAGUGAACGGUGUCUAAAUGCUUCUCUCUGUGCAGCACCAAAAAGACUGCUCCUUUGGUCUACCAGGAGGUUUUCUGUUCAUUUUUGCACCAUCAUCAUCAAAAACAAAAUCCACAGGAGCUCUUGUUAGGGAGGAAGCUGCUAAUGCUGUAGCCACAAGAACUGGAGACACAUAUAUCAGACAGAGCCAAAGGGACAGAAAAUCACGUUACAGACAGAUUGGUGGCAUAAAUCUCCCUCCUGGUUCAGCAGAGAUGACAGCUGAGUGAAAGCAGCCAGCGUGUACGGGUUUUAGCAUGUACAGUUUUCAGCUCUGCCACCCUCCCCAUGGCAUGGCUACAUGCAGACCAUCCACAGCUAGGUGCCAUCUCUGCUGCCUUUGGGUGUUUUCCUUGCUCAUUUGUUCUUGGAAGAGCCAGGGACAUAAAAAAGCAGUGAGGUAGCGACAUCUGGAGGACAGCCACCAAGGAAUUCUCACCCAACCCAUUGGUGACACACCGAUAGCUUUGGGACAUGGAGCAGGGGGUCUUUAGGUCUCGGUUCAUCAGAAAAAUGAGAAUGGGAGUCACAGGAGGGUGCACGCUCUAGGUUUUUGGCACAGGGAUAGGAACAGUGGAGACACUCUGAAGGAGUUUGCCAUCCUUCUUUCAUCUGAUUCUUCUGUUUUCUGCCUGCGGAUGAGAUUCCCCAGCAAUGUCAGGCUUAGUGCAGCCCCAGGGCUCUCUAGAGCUGUGACGCCCAGCUGUGGGGUGGUCUGAGCCUAAGGACUUCCUAUGUUCCCUUCUGCUUCCAUCCCCCAAGUCACCAAACAGUGUUUGCACAGCCCCAAAGCCUUCUCUGUCUCUCACGUUGCCCCCCCCCAAAGAAUAGAUUGGGGGUUCACAAGAGGCUGGGAGGGGACACAACCAGGUAGAGGACCUAAACUAACCAAAGAAGCUUUCCAUACCAGAUACAUCAUGCUCAGCAAUAAAAUGGGAAAAGACGAGGCUUAGGGGUUAGCC